UUAGAGUCGCAAUGAUGUUGAAAUCUACCUAUUUUAUGAACGAAGCUUGAGUUUUCAGUUCAUGAUUAGAAACAACCAAUGGAUCCUUCUGAGCACUCUAAAUAUAUUCUAUUUUUUUAACUCUUGGAUACAAUGUAGUUUAGAUGCCUUUAAGGUGAUGAGAAAGUUGUCGGAAAAUAUGAUGUUGAUUGAUAAAUACUUCCAGACUACAAUUAUCUGAUUAAUGGAUGAUUCGUUUUCCACCUUUUGACAUUUUCUAGAUUACAUUUGUGAUUUGUUUGCAUUUAUUUUUUAGAAUGAAAGAUGGAAAGGAUGAUUAUUUCCCCAUAUGAUCGAAGCUGAUUAUAUUGUGCGCUAUUUUAUUUUCUUCUUUUCAAGGAGAAUCCAAGCCAGAAAUCUGAUCCCU
rnacentral:lncRNA from 1 species